AGCAGCCGCGGUAAUUCCAGCUCCAAUAGCGUAUAUUAAAGUUGUUGCAGUUAAAAAGCUCGUAGUUGAAUUUCGGGGUCAGUAGGUUGGUCGUGCCACCGGUACGUACUGGUCUCACUGAUUCCUCCUUCCUGAUGAGCUGUAAUGCCAUUAAUUUGGUGUUGCAGGGAAUCUGGACUGUUACUUUGAAAAAAUUAGAGUGUUUAAAGCAGGCUAACGCUUGAAUACAUUAGCAUGGAAUAAUGAAAUAGGACGUUCGAUCCUAUUUUGUUGGUUUCUAGGAUUGACGUAAUGAUUAAUAGGGAUAGUUGGGGGCAUUAGUAUUCAAUUGUCAGAGGUGAAAUUCUUGGAUUUAUUGAAGACUAACUACUGCGAAAGCAUUUGCCAAGGAUGUUUUCAUUAAUCAAGAACGAAAGUUAGGGGAUCGAGGACGAUCAGAUACCGUCGUAGUCUUAACCAUAAACUAUGCCGACUAGGGAUCGGAUGAUGUUAAUUUUUAAUGA
rnacentral:rRNA from 1 species